UUGCAUUGUUGAUAAAUAAGGCCACUAUUGAUUCAAUCGGGUGGUCUUGAACAAUGGUGCAUAAAGAGAAAGCUGUUCAGUCAGCAGCGGCCAGACAACCGUGGUGAUGGAUCCACAGAUGGCUGCUUUUGAUGCAGUUUGUCUACUAAAUCCAUCUCAUAUUA